rnacentral:rRNA from 1 species
CCUACGGGAGGCUGCAGUGGGGAAUAUUGGGCAAUGGGCGCAAGCCUGACCCAGCAACGCCGCGUGACGGCAGAAGGCUUUCGGGUUGUAAACUUCUUUUCUCAGGGACGAAGCAAGUGACGGUACCUGAGGAAUAAGCCACGGCUAACUACGUGCCAGCAGCCGCGGUAAUACGGAGGUGGCAAGCGUUAUCCGGCUUUACUGGGUGUAAAGGGCGUGUAGGCGGGACUGCAAGUCAGAUGUGAAAACCACGGGCGCAAACUGUGGCCUGCAGUUGAAACUGUAGUUCUUGAGUACUGGAGAGGCAGACGGAAUGCCUAGUGUAGCGGUGAAAGGCGGAGAUAUUAGGAGGAACACCAGUGGCGAAGGCGGUCUGCUGGACAGCAACUGACGCUGAGGCGCGAAAGCGUGGGGAGCAAACAGGAUUAGAUACCCCAGUAGUC